rnacentral:lncRNA from 1 species
AAGCCUGGGCAAGGAAGUCUGCGGACACAGUCUGGGCUUCUUCCUUCUUGCUAAACAUGGCCAAGGAAGGGCUGUGGGCUGCCCAGCAGCUCUGGAAUUGGGUAAGACCUAGCCUACAGAUUUUCAAAACCCUGCCUUGACCAGCCUUUCUGUCAGGAGAGUCUUGGAGGCAGAAGUUGCUGUCCCCAACCAUAGCCUUACUCAAGAAACCUCAAGCUGCUGGUGGGCAGUCAGGAAAUACUGCAAACCUCAGAGUCCCCACCAAUCUGAGAUGAAAUGGCCAGCAUGCAGAAAUGCCUUCAAAGGGGCAAGGUUGAGAGCAUAGAAGCACAAACUCCCAAGUGACCCUGUGCUAGCUUGGGGGUGGGAGUGGGGAUUGCUAAGUCCCCCCAAACCCUCCCUCCAAUCAUCACAGCACUCCUGGGAGGUAGGUGCCAUUUGGAAUGCCACAGGGCAGAGAAGGACACAGAGACACAGAGGCAGAGUCCCACAGCUAAGACAAGCUGGGCGCACACCAGCAGUAGGUGCUGGGUAAGGGUGGGGGCUUCUGUAGGGCAGAAAUGCUUGCUGGUCUCAGUCUUACAGUAUAACCUGGCCCCAACCCAGCCCCCAUUCUUGUUCCUUGGCACCUCUGAACCCAACAGACAGGGGUUCAAAUCGUUUCCAGAAGGCUCUGCUAAAUUGGGUUUCUUCUUGCUAGGGUGCCUCGAUGUGCUGGCUCCUUUGGGGUGCU